AUACGUAGGUGGCAAGCGUUGUCCGGAUUUACUGGGUGUAAAGGGCGUGUAGCCGGGUCGGCAAGUCAGAUGUGAAAUCCACGGGCUUAACUCGUGAACUGCAUUUGAAACUGUUGAUCUUGAGUAUCGGAGAGGCAAUCGGAAUUCCUAGUGUAGCGGUGAAAUGCGUAGAUAUUAGGAGGAACACCAGUGGCGAAGGCGGAUUGCUGGACGACAACUGACGGUGAGGCGCGAAAGCGUGGGGAGC
rnacentral:rRNA from 1 species